rfam:Catenulispora acidiphila DSM 44928, complete genome.
GGGGCCGAACGGUUUCGACAUUGGACGUUUUGGCAGGGGAAGCGGGCCGAGGAAGCAGCGAUGAUCUCGUUAACCACACGCUGCAAAAAAAAUAACUGCCAACAAGACGCAGCUGAAGUCGCAGACCGCUUACGGUCUCGCCGCCUGACACUAAUCAGGUCAUGACUUCUGUCGACCCGGGAGCGCCUCCGGCCCGGUAAGACAUCAUUAGGAGGAUCCACCGUCGAGCACGGCCACAGGGCCCGACGGGACACUCAUGUGGCUGGGCCUGUCAGCAGCGUGCCUGUGAGACUGCCGGGGCCAACAAAAGCGACCACAGGCUCCGCCCGAAGAAGCCCUGACAAGCCGCCGAUGGACGCGGGUUCAAUUCCCGCCGGCUCCACUG